AGACUCCGCCCCCUCGGAUGCCUGCCGGAGGGGGACCAGGGUGCGGGGCGGCGGCGCCCCCUCGUGUCCACAGGUGCGUCCGACGCUUUGCCACAAGAACAGUGGACCUGCGGGAAGUUUCCGGUGAUCGUGUGACGUUCAAUUAUGCGCCGGAAGUGCACUGCGGCGAACGCGAGGAAGUCGGAGAGCUUGCAGUUGCAGCUAGUUCUUACCUGCAGAACGCAAGCGGCCGGAGGGUGUGGGUACUUUUAGCCAGCGGCCGCUGUCAUGACGACCCAGGGGGGCCUAGUGGCCAACCGAGGCCGGCGGUUCAAAUGGGCCAUUGAGCUGAGUGGGCCGGGAGGAGGCAGCAGGGGCCGAAGUGACCGGGGCAGUGGACAGGGAGACUCCCUCUAUCCAGUCGGUUACUUGGACAAGCAAGUGCCUGAUACCAGCGUGCAAGAGACCGACCGGAUCCUGGUGGAGAAGAUUUACUUAUUAUACAAUGUUGCUGCCUUCAGACACACCAGAAGAGGGCGUCAGAUCUCAAUAUGGGUGGUUGUGAGCCACCAUGUGCUUUCUGGGAUUUGAACUCAGGACCUUUGGAAGAGCAGUCAGUGCUCCUACCCGCUGAGCCAUCUCGCCAGCCCCUUUCCCUGACUUUCAUGAAGUAGAUGCUGAGUCUUCUCACAUGUUCUUAAGAUCAUGGAAUUUUAGCCAGCGCUGCUGGGACAUCGCCUUGGGUCCCCUCAAGCAGAUUCCCAUGAACCUCUUCAUCAUGUACAUGGCAGGCAACACCAUUUCCAUCUUCCCUACUAUGAUGGUGUGUAUGAUGGCCUGGCGACCCAUUCAAGCACUUAUGGCCAUUUCAGCCACUUUCAAGAUGCUGGAGAGUUCAAGUCAGAAGUUUCUUCAAGGCUUGGUCUAUCUCAUUGGGAACCUGAUGGGUUUGGCAUUGGCAGUUUACAAGUGCCAGUCCAUGGGACUGUUGCCUACACAUGCAUCAGACUGGCUAGCCUUUAUUGAGCCCCCUGAGAGAAUGGAGUUCAGUGGAGGAGGCUUACUUCUGUGACCCCCAGAAAGCACCAUGCAUAUGGACCUCAUCUGCAUUUUAAGCUGUUGACUCCUAAAUAUCCUCCCUUAAAACAGUCAUGCAUGUGGAGAAGAGCCUCCUGUGGUGAGGCCAGUGUGCAGCAUGUUACAGCAGAAAAGAAACUACAGCACAACUUAUGACUGAAAAUAAUGUAGAAAACUUUAUUUAUGUUCCCAGCACAGAGCAAAACAAACAAAACCAGACUCUAUGUAAACAAAAGAAUAGCAGCUGCUCAGUAGCAGCUUCUCCUUUCAAUAAAUUAAACGGUUGAGAACAAUGCUUAAUGUUUCACAA